GAGGGUAUUGCUCAAGUGGUAGAGUGCGUGCUUAGCAUGCAUGAGGUCUUAGGUUCAUUCCCCAGUACCUCCC
rfam:Camelus ferus unplaced genomic scaffold scaffold1244, whole genome shotgun sequence.